rnacentral:rRNA from 1 species
GACAGAGGAUGCAAGCGUUAUCCGGAAUGAUUGGGCGUAAAGCGUCUGUAGGUGGCUUUUUAAGUUCGCCGUCAAAUCCCAGGGCUCAACCCUGGACAGGUGGUGGAAACUACCAAGCUAGAGUACGGUAGGGGCAGAGGGAAUUUCCGGUGGAGCGAUGAAAUGCGUAGAGAUCGGAAGGAACACCCAAGGCGAAAGCACUCUGCUGGGCCGACACUGACACUGAGAGACGAAAGCUGGGGGAGCAAAUGGG